UUUUAAUGCCCUAUUUAAGUUAAUUUUUUUUAAAAGAUUCAUUUCUCUCCUUCCUUCAAAAAAAAAAAAAAGAAACAGCCCCGCACCUUCUCUCAACUCUCUCCUUGGCCGGCCAUUAACCUCGCCGACGGUUCACCAUGCCUCCGCCAUGAGCGGUGGCUGGAACCAUACAAAUAUCGGGCUCUUUCAGCCCCGUUUUGAAACGCCCUUGAAGGUUAAACCACCGAAACCCGAAGAAUCGAAAGGAGGAGGCCCUCAACUCCCCUUUUGGGUCCAAAAUUGGUGACGAAGAAGAGCUCCGACGACACGACCACGGGGGUUCAAGUGCCAAAGGCACGUGGAGGCAAGCCGAGAGGCGGUGGCAAAGACAAGGGUGACGUGCGGCGCUGGUUAAGCUGAAGGAGGCUAGGGUUUCUGUUUUUCUUCUGAAAGUUAAAGUUGUGGGCUUUUGGGCUACUAAGGUUUUUUAAUUUUAGGCCAUUUGGGUAGUGUAUUUGGGCUUGUAAAAAUUGGACUGUUUUAUUAUUUGGGUUUAUUGACCUGGACCAAAAAUUGGCCAUUACAUUAGCAAUUGACAAAAAAGAAAUUGUUAGAGAUAAAAGAUAAUUUAUUGUUUCUCCGAUUUUAUUUUAAAUUUUUAAAUAUAUUAUUUCAAUUCAAAA